UUGGCGUCCAUACGAUGGAUUCUACCAUCCCUUUCAUGGGAGCCCUCGGGUAGAAGUGAAAUACCACUACUUUUAACGUUAUUUUACUUAUUCCGUUAGUUAGAGGCGGGGCUUCACCCCUCCUUUUGGACCCAAGGCUCGCCUCGGUGGGCCGAUCCGGGCAAAAGACAUUGUCAGGUGGGGAGUUUGGUUGGGACGGCACAUCUGUUAAAAGAUAACGUAGGUGUCCUAAGAUGAGCUCAACGAGAACAUAAAUCUCGUGUGGAUCAAAAGGGUAAAAGCUCACUUGAUUCUGAUUUCCAAUACGAAUACAAACAGUGAAAGCGUGGCCUAUCAAUCCUUUAGACCUUCAGAAUUUGAAGGUAGAGGUGCAGAAAA
rfam:Nelumbo nucifera unplaced genomic scaffold scaffold00327, whole genome shotgun sequence